rnacentral:tRNA from 1 species
GCCUGGCUGGCUCAGUUGGUAGAGCACGCGACUCUUGAUCGUGGGGUCGUGAGUUUGGGCUCCAUGUCAGGUA